AUUUAAGUAGUUUAAUUUAAAAUAAUGACUUGUGGUGUCAUUGAUAUAGUAAUAUCUUAAAUA
rnacentral:tRNA from 1 species